AGGUUCCAGGGCAGAGUGGGAGGAAAACUAAUAACCAAAUUAUUAUCCCCUUGAGGUUUGUGCGGUAUUAUUUUACUGUGUGCAAUCCUGUUUUGUUUAUUAGGCUACAUAUACACCAGGGCAGCAUUUCUUGAGCUUUCUGGCACUUUGAAAGCAAGUGACGGUCUUGCAUGAUGGCAGCGUGAGAAGCAAUUAUGUGAACUCUGAAUACCAGUUGGGCAAGCUUCCCACAUUAUAAAACACGUUUCAGUUCAGAACCAGGGGGAAGAGCUGCAUCCUGCCAUCUUAACUCUGCCUUCAAAUAAGGUUACUUGCACUGUGCUCCAGGAAAACCCAUUCUGCUUAUCAUCUGCAGGAAUCCCUGGCUGAAGUUCUCUGACCUCUGUGACACAAAGAGAAAAUCAUGAUCUUCCCUCUGGAUGCUGUUGGCUGUUUCAAUUGUGCCAUACUACCUAAUUGUAACAGACCAUCAGACAUGCCUGUCUGCUGGGUCUACAGGUAUGUACAAGCAACCAGUCUAGCAUCUGUCUAGCAUCAGAGGAGCAAACAAGGUUAGACUUUGCUCAUGGAGGGAACCAUGAGAUGGGGAGAAAGGGCUGUGUUUGCCUUCAUACAAGCAGCCAGACUUC
ensembl:lncRNA